rnacentral:rRNA from 1 species
GGAGUGCCUUGUAAAAGAGAGCCGCAGUGAAGAGGCCCAAGCGACUGUUUAACUAAAACACAGCUCUCUGCAAAGUCGCAAGACGAAGUAUAGGGGGUGACGCCUGCCCGGUGCUGGAAGGUUAAGAGGAUUUGUCAUCCGCAAGGAGAAGCAAUGAAUUGAAGCCCCAGUGAACGGCGGCCGUAACUAUAACGGUCCUAAGGUAGCGAAAUUCCUUGUCAGGUAAGUUCUGACCCGCACGAAAGGCGUAACGAUUUGGGCGCUGUCUCGGCAGCAGACUCGGUGAAAUCUUAGUACCUGUGAAAAUGCAGGUUACCCGCAACUAGACGGAAAGACCCCAUGGAGCUUUACUGUAGCCUGAUAUUGAAUUUUGAUCAAAGAUGUACAGGAUAGGUGGGAGGCGAAGAGACGUGUACGCCAGUAUACGAGGAGCCGCUGUUGGGAUACCACUCUUGUUUGAUUGAAGUUCUAACCUGCACCCAUGAACUGGGUGAGGGACCGUGUCAGGUGGGCAGUUUGACUGGGGCGGUCGCCUCCUAAAGAGUAACGGAGGCGCCCAAAGGUACGCUCAGAUUGGAUGGAAAUCAAUCGACGAGUGCAAAUGCAGAAGCGUGCUUGACUGUGAGACAAACAAGUCGAACAGGGACGAAAGUCGGGAUUAGUGAUCCGGCGGUGCCGAAUGGAAGGGCCGUCGCUCAACGGAUAAAAGCUACCCUGGGGAUAACAGGCUGAUCUCGCCCAAGAGUUCACAUCGACGGCGAGGUUUGGCACCUCGAUGUCGGCUCAUCGCAUCCUGGAGCUGAAUUCGGUUCCAAGGGUUGGGCUGUCCGCCCAUUAAAGCGGUACGCGAGCUGGGUUCAGAACGUCGUGAGACAGUUCGGUCCCUAUCUGUUGUGGGCGUUGGAGAUCUGAGGAGAGCUGUCCUUAGUACGAGAGGACCGGGAUGGACCUACCGCUGGUGCACCAGUUGUUCCGCCAGGAGCAUAGCUGGGUAGCUAAGUAGGGAAGGGAUAAGCGCUGAAAGCAUCUAAGCGCGAAGCCUACUCCAAGAUGAGAUCUCCCAUUCGUAUAACGAAGUAAGACCCCUUGAAGACGACGAGGUGGAUAGGUCAGAGAUGGAAGUGUAGCGAUACAUGGAGUUGACUGAUACUAAUAGGUCGAGGACUUAAUCAC